rnacentral:rRNA from 1 species
AGAGUUUGAUCCUGGCUCAGAGCGAACGCUGGCGGCAGGCUUAACACAUGCAAGUCGAACGGGCGUAGCAAUACGUCAGUGGCAGACGGGUGAGUAACGCGUGGGAACGUACCUUUUGGUUCGGAACAACUGAGGGAAACUUCAGCUAAUACCGGAUAAGCCCUUACGGGGAAAGAUUUAUCGCCGAAAGAUCGGCCCGCGUCUGAUUAGCUAGUUGGUGAGGUAAUGGCUCACCAAGGCGACGAUCAGUAGCUGGUCUGAGAGGAUGAUCAGCCACAUUGGGACUGAGACACGGCCCAAACUCCUACGGGAGGCAGCAGUGGGGAAUAUUGGACAAUGGGCGAAAGCCUGAUCCAGCCAUGCCGC